AGCGUAGGUGGACUGGUAAGUCAGUUGUGAAAGUUUGCGGCUCAACCGUAAAAUUGCAGUUGAUACUGUCAGUCUUGAGUACAGUAGAGGUGGGCGGAAUUCGUGGUGUAGCGGUGAAAUGCUUAGAUAUCACGAAGAACUCCGAUUGCGAAGGCAGCUCACUGGACUGCAACUGACACUGAUGCUCGAAAGUGUGGGUAUCAAACA
rnacentral:rRNA from 1 species